rnacentral:lncRNA from 10 species
GGAAUACCAAGAUAUUUAUUAUUUCCUAAAUAGUCAAGGCUACUUCUCAUCCCUUAGAUCUAAUUGGUCAUGCCUCUCUGCCCAGCAGAAUUUUAACACCUAUCCUUUCUCAUGCUAACUUCUAUUUAGAUUUCAGAUUAGAUCUCAAAGUUAAACUCCUUCAGAUGUGGACUCAGCUCAAAUACCAUGGAUACCAGAGAUAUCAUUGACUUAAUUAUUCUUAUGCUGAUUUGUUAACAUUUAACACAUAUUGGCAAGUUGCCAUUCUGAAGAGUAACACCAAUUCAUACUCUUACCAAUAGUCCUCAGGGUACCCUUUUCCUCACAUACUGUGAACUCUAGGUAUUAUCAAUCUUUUUAACUUUGUAAAACUGAGAGUCAAAUAAACUUGUUGUUUUGUGGUUCUACUAUACCAAGAAAAGAUAUAAUAGACAUGAAAAUGUUGGCAUCUUUAUGAGUCUGGAAUUAAAGGAACUUUCCCUUUCUGCUUUCUAAUUUGAUUUAAGGAAUAUAUUGCACUUUAAUAAAAAAUGCACUAAAAUGAUUUGCAUUUGAAAAUCUCUUUAAUAUUUUAACUCUGAAAAGACAGACUUGCACAAUGGUUAAGACUGUGAGGUGAGGACUCAAGUGGGUCUGAGUUCAAAUUGAAGCGUAUGCACUUAAAAUGCAGUUUUAUCAUCUGGAAUACAAGGGUGAUAAUCCUUGCUCUUCUAGGAUUAAAAUGAUCUCAUAAAUGUUGAGUACUGAAAGAAGUAUUGGCACAUAAUAGGCAGUUAAUAAAUAGUAGCAGUGAGGAGACUCCUGGUAAACAUAGCAUUUCAAACUUACGCAUUCUUCCAAACAAAACAGAAUUCAUCUAUGUACAUGGACAUGUAUUUCUUACGAGGUUUUCUUCCAUAGAUAAUGAAUGUAAGAAAGCAAAAUUAAUUUGCUUGUGAUUAUUUGUGUUGUUAUCAAGUAUGGGUUUAUGACAUACUAUAGAGUAUUCUUUGGAGGCAGGUUAUUGCUUUCAUCCAAUAAGAGGAGAUUUAGUACUAUAAAUAGAAAAUGCUUAAAGCUUUUCAGAAUUUGUCUUAAAAGUAAUUAAAUUUCAGUUUAAACUAUGAUAUUUUGCUCAUUAUCGUAAAGUUGGAAGAUAAAUUAAAAGUUUCAGAAGUUAUUUUAAUACAAAUCUAAAAUUCAAUCAUUAUUCUUCUAAAAUGCAAUAAAUUAAAAGAUUAUAACGGCUUGAAGUUUACCUUAAUAACAACUUUUUAGUUGAUGGUACAUAGCUCCUGUGGGUCAGAAUAUGUUUUUAAAGUUUCUCAAUUUGAUCACAUUAGCAUUUGCACUGGAUAAAAAUGAAUGGUACCACAGAAUUAAGCAACGAUUUCAGAAACAAAUUCAAAAUAAACUCACACUUAAGUGACUAAACAAAUUGGCCUUCCAUCUAUUAAUUUAGCACCUAUAGAGUUCUAAAGUUUAGAGAUUUAGGAAGGUACUAAGAGUGGCAAAUGUGUGUCAUCUGCAUCUUAAAAAAUAAGAAGAAAGAGGAAAAAAAAAAAAAGAAAGAAAGAAAAAACUACAUUUAGCAACCCAGACUAGAAUCUAAGCUCUGUCAAAGUGAUUUCUUAUUCCAUUUUACUGAAGCAGUGCCAAGCUUUAUCACUUCUGAGUUCAUGUCCUAGUAGUGAGUUCCCACUCUCACAAGACUGGAUUACUUCCCUUGGGAAUGGAUUUGUUCUUGUGAGAGUGGAUUGUAAUAGAGCCAGGGUGCCCCUCAGGUUUCCCUCUCUUCACAUGAGUUCAUUUCCCCUUUGGCCUUCACCAUGUUGUGACACAGCACGAAAGCCCUUGCAAGA